rnacentral:rRNA from 1 species
GAUGAACGCUGGCGGCGUGCCUAAUACAUGCAAGUCGAGCGAGCAGACGAGGAGCUUGCUCCGCUGACGUUAGCGGCGGACGGGUGAGUAACACGUGGAUAACCUACCUAUAAGACUGGGAUAACAUCGGGAAACCGGAGCUAAUACCGCAUAAUAUAUUGAACCGCAUGGUUCAAUAGUGAAAGACGGUUUUGCCGUCACUUAUAGAUUGACCCGCGCCGCAUUAGCUAGUUGGUAGGGUAAAGGCUUAACAAGGCGCCGGAGCGUAGCCGACCUGAGAGGGUAAUCGGCAACUCUGGAACUGAGACAGGGCCCAGCUCCCUAGGGGAGGCAGAGUUAGGAAAUUUCCCGAAAUGGGCGAAGGCUUGACGGAGCAACGCGGGGUGAGUGAUGAAGGUCUUCGGUUCGUAAACCCCUGUUAUAAGGGAAGACCAAAUGUGGAAGUAACUAUGCCGGUUUGGACGGUACCUAACCAGAAAGCACCGGUUACUUACGU